GACGAACGCUGGCGGCGUGCUUAACACAUGCAAGUCGAACGGAAAGGCCCCAGCUUGCUGGGGUACUCGAGUGGCGAACGGGUGAGUAACACGUGGGUGAUCUGCCCUGCACUCUGGGAUAAGCCUGGGAAACUGGGUCUAAUACCGGAUAGGACCGUGCUUUAGUGUGUGCGGUGGAAAGUUUUUCGGUGCAGGAUGAGCCCGCGGCCUAUCAGCUUGUUGGUGGGGUAAUGGCCUACCAAGGCGGCGACGGGUAGCCGGCCUGAGAGGGUGUACGGCCACAUUGGGACUGAGACACGGCCCAGACUCCUACGGGAGGCAGCAGUGGGGAAUAUUGCACAAUGGGCGAAAGCCUGAUGCAGCGACGCCGCGUGGGGGAUGACGGCCUUCGGGUUGUAAACCCCUUUCGGCAGGGACGAAGCUUUUGUGACGGUACCUGCAUAAGAAGCACCGGCUAACUACGUG
rnacentral:rRNA from 1 species